UCCCUGCUUGGUAGUUUCUUUCUGAUACUGUUCUUAGAAUUAUCGUCCUUUUUACCUCUAUCUAGAAUAUCUCUAAAUGCUCUUCACAGGGUUGGUUUGUUAGUUAUGAAUUUUUUUCUGUUGUUUUUGUCAUGUAAGUAUCUUAGUUCUUCAUUAACUUUGAAAGAUAGUUUUGUAGAGUACAUCAAUUUGGGUUGAAAGUUGUUUUCUUUCAGGACUUGAAAUGCUUCACUCCAAGCUCUUCUUGAGGAUUUGUGUUGAGAAGUUGAGUGUGAUUCUAAUGGGUUUUCCUUUACAGGUGAUCUGUUUCUUUUCUCUAACAGCUUUUAUUAUUCUGUUCUUGUGCUGAAUUUCUGGGAUCUUGAUUAUUAUAUGUCUGGGUGCUGAUUAAUUUUGGUCAUGGCUAUUUUGAGUUUAUAUAUCCCACCUAUCUGCAUGUCGGGUUCUAUUCCCAUGCUUGAAAAAUUUUCUGCUCUUACUUCUGAAAAUAGUCUUUUUAUGUAAUUUGUUUUGAUGCUUGCUUUUUGAUUGACACCAAUUAAUCUAAUAUUGUUUUUCUUACAUCAUCUUGCAGCUGUUGGAUUAUAAUUUACUGGUCCCUUGUUAUGUUUUGAUCUUUUCUUUCAUGAUUUCUAGCUGUGAUCCAGUCUUCAAGGUCUGAAAUUCUAUCUUCAAUUUCAUUCAAGCAGUUUUCCCAACUUUCAGUGGAAUUUGUAAUUUCCAGGGUAACUCUUUGAAUCUGUUUCUUGCACUGUUUUUCUCCUAUAUUUUACAUUCAAAGUUUCCAUCAUUUUCUAUGCUUUUCUAUUUUUUUAAAUCUAUAUAUUCUCUAGACAUCCUAAGCAGUUCCUUUAUUAUGUUUGUUAUUUCUUUAUAUUCUUUUAGCUAAGAGAUUAUUUAUGAACUGAUUUCCUCUCUGGCCACAUUGAUUUAUUUCUUUAGUUACUAUCAUUUUAGAAAUUUCAGGUGUGUAUCUUCCAAUUUUCUCUAUGUCAGUGUCUCCUAGACUUGUUCUGGGUAUGCUGGAGAUCUGAGAUUACAUUUUGUUUCUGCAUCUUGUCAUUUUUUAUUUCAAAAAAAUUUUUUUAAGAUUUGUUUUGUGUGUUGAUCCUUGUGAGUUUUUGUGGUAGACAGCUAUAUCACUAGUACAAGGCCUCUUCAGGAAAAGUCUGUUCUUCAAGGCUACAUUUUGUGUGUUGGAGGUUCUUGAUUUGUGCCUGUCUCAAGAUCCUACAUCCCAAUUAAUCAAGGGAAGAAUGUUGGUAUCUGUUUGGUGCAGUCCCCAGUCCUUCAGUGUACGGCUAUGGUGAGGUUAUUACCCCAGAGCUUCCUUGUAUUGUUGCAGAAGGGAAAACAACCUAUUGCAACAGAUAUGACAUCCUAGAUAAAGUUUAAUAAUUAGCAAUAACAGUAGCAUCAACAUUUUAGAAACUGACAGCUGUGGUAACUAUUGAUUUUGUACUUUAGGCCAUAGGUGGAAUGUCUGUAGUUGCAUAGCAGAACCAAUCCUAAAUUAAGAGUUUUUAUGUAUGCAGAGUGUUUCCCUUUGGCAGAGUGGUCUUACCCUGAGGUUGGGAAAUUUAGGAAUGAGAGUGUAUAAAACAAAGAUAACUGGAAAGGAAGUAGAAGCAAGGCUGGAGGACAAAAAAUGAUCAUGCAAAGAUUGGGAAACUAGACUAGAGGUUCUAGAAGAGAAAGAAAAAAGGAGUAAUUGAGAGAUUAUAGGAACUUGGUCUCUGGGUUUGAAGGAUACGAUUAGUUUUCUGUAGCUGUAGUUCUCAACCAUUUAGAAAAGAGAAAAAGAAAGAAAAAAUAAUAAAAAAGACAAGAGAAAAGGAAAAAGAAAGUAAGAUAAAAAUAAAAUAAAAUUCAAAUUUAGUAAAGUGGUGGGCUGCACCACCCACCUGUUUCUAUUGUGUGUGUCUAUCGCUAAGUACAACAUUGGUUCACCUAACUUACCCUCUGUUGGCUGGUAAGUUGAACUUUUCCAUCCCACUAGUGUCCCCUGUCCAUCAUGUGUGCCUCAGUUGGGGCCCUACUGUAUGGCUGGCAUUCCCUGGGUCAGCUGGUCCCAGUCCCCUGGAUUCCUCCAGUGGACCAGUUGCUGAGACUGGGUUUUUUCUGGACUGGGUGCUGGGUUUCAAGAUGUUUAGGGCUCUUAAGGUUUUCAGAAAUCCAGCCUUAGAGAGUUUACUUGGAUCAGACAGGCCUACUGAAGCUCACUCUAAAGAGAUGAUGCACUCAAAAGCCCUUUCAUUUUUAACAAAGAACCAAUAGGGUGUCCAGUGUUGGUGGGCUAGGCAGUGUAUAAGGAUUGAGGAGCAGCCAAAGGAAUUUUGUGAAUUUUAUAGUCAAUUUUUUCCUGAACCCAAAACAAUUCUAAAAAAAAACACACACACACAAAAAAAAUUACACAAGAAUUACACGAUGUCACAGUUUAGAUCUAAAAUGUUUCCUAAAAGUCUUGUGUUCUGAGGUAGGCUUGAUCAGAAGAGGCAGGCCACAGGCCUGUUUCUGUUUCUGCUUCACGACCACCAUGAAAUGAGCAACUUUCUUUUGCUAAACCAUUUCUCCUUGUGGAUUCUGUCUUCCAGCUGGACCAUGAGCUAAACCCACUGAAACUGUAAGUUAGAACGAACUGCUUUUCUAAAUUGCAAUGUUGAGUAUUUGGUUCCAGCAACAGGAAAGCUAUCUUACAUAUAUAAGCUAGAGACUGUGGUAGACAAAAUAAUGCUCUUAAAAUUGUCCACAUAAUAAUUGCUAAAAUUCAUGACUAUGUUUCUUUAUGUGAUAAUAGAGUCUUUGUAGAUACAAUUAAAGAUUUUGAGAGACCAAUUUGGAUUGUCAGCACGGGCCCAGUGUACUCAGAUGGGAGGGUCAGUGACAAGAAAAACGAAAGCAGAGGUGAUGAAAAGACUGAUGUCUUUGAAGAUGGCAGAAGGUGCCAGGAGCCCAGAGAGGCAGGAAGCCUUUAAAAACUACAAAGUAAAGAAAUGAAAUGUAAUUGAUUCAUUUUAGACUUCUGACCUCUUGAGUUGUGAAGCAAUACAAUUCUGUUGUUUUAAGCAUUUUGUAGCAGUUUGUUACAAUAGCAAUAGGAAAUUAACAUGAUGAAUAUUUCAGUGAAAAUUUAGAAAAGUAGAUGAAGACGAGGUACUCAAGUUCACUAUCCAGAUCUUGGAUGCGACGGCUAAAUUCACUUGGAGAAUAGAAGCAAGACUCCAUUUCUUUCUGUUUAGGUACAGGAACAAUCCGCUUGCAUUUUAAAAUUUUCAGAUUUGCUAUUCUCUUAUUUCUUGUCUCCCACUAAGGAAAAAAAAAAAACAACAGCAAACUUCUGUAUUGUUUUGAAGCCUAUUUGGAUGGAAAUUCUACAGCUCUUCCUGCUUCUGCAGUUUCCUAGUAGCAUUUGUUUUCUCUGAUGGCAAGAUUAUCACUCAUGGCAUGGCCUCAUUCACUGUGCUGCCUGUGAAUAGCAGCCUCUAGUGGGAAAAAGUUUGUUACUGUGUGUGUUUGGUGAUCAUCACAAAUCCAACAGACUUCAGAAUAGACUGAAGAAAAACGUAUUCAUAUGAAAUGGCCAGAUCUUAGGCAACAGGAAGGAGAUUCAACAGUGUCCAGACUUGGGGAAGACUUGGAGGAAUAUGGCUGAUAGGAAUGGGACUCUGGGACUAUGGGAAUGUUCUGGAAUACGUGGCUCUUCUUGCAUCACUUUGAGCCUGGAUGGAAAACUAUCAAGGCGCACUUUAAGUAGUGCAUUAAGUCUCCUUCAUGAAAACAAGGGAGAAAUUGAAAAGAACCCAGGCGUCAUCUGGGGACAGCUUGGCCACCGCUCUGCUCUGGCUGGGCCGCCCCCUCCUCCCUGGUGGGCUCAGCACAGCAGGACCAGUGAGACCUGUGCCUCUCUGAAGGGUACCCCGAGUUCAGAAGCCUUCAGAUGGAGGAGGCCAUCCAGGGGACAGCAGGGUUGAGGAAGGAUGCGGAGAGCGAGGCUGGCCUGUCCCCCACCCGCCCCUAGUGGUGUGAAAAGCCCCCAUGGGAGAAGGGGGGACGUGGGGUCCACAGGUGGCAACCAGGAGCAAGAGGGCGUGGGGGAUGAGCUCGCACAGUGUCUCUAGAGAGAAAGGUGGGGUUCUCAUCAAAGAAGUUGUGGGGCUGAAGGAAGCAGCCACGCCAUUACCCACCAUCACCUUGUUGGGGACGUCCUCUGAGUGCAGGACGUACAGAAAUCCAGCUGUCAUCCAGGCUACCAGGUCCUGGGCUGGUUGUUGAUGAAGUCACCAAAGUCCACAGCUGGUGUCCAGAGGUCAUUCACGUUGUAGAUGCUGGAGCUGCUGGGCUCCUCAUCCUUCUGUGGGGUCACAGUCACCUGGUAUCAGCCAUGUCCAGGUCCAUCUUGAAGUGCAUGCUGUGGGUGUGGACUGUGCCUAGUAUGUGCUCCCUGACUCGGUUCCCAUACUGCUGGGCAACCCCAAAGAGGAGCUAAUGUAGCCAGUGGCGUGGACCUUGACUCUGAUGGCCCCAUUGGGGUGGAAGAUCAUGUCCCACACAUAGUCAUAGUUGAUCAUGGUGGACACGGACCAGAACACCAGCACUGGUUCCACGGCGCCCCCAUAAUAAUGGGGGUACAAAUCCGAGUGCUGUUGCAGCAGAGGCAGGUCCUGGUUCUGUUGAAACACACCAAGGGCAUCAAAGAUGGUCUUGGGGGCCCACGACUCUACCAGGAAGUGCCAGUCCAUCUAGGUGGCCAGGUAGGGGUAGUCGACCCCGCAGGUCUGGUGUGUGGAGGCUGUGAUGGGCUUCCUGAUCCUAGCUGGGCCCUGACCUGGUGGGCGUGGUCCAGACACGGCUCUCAGACACCAGUCCACUCAGUGGAGCUGCAGCUGCCCCACAAGGCCGAGGCCCUGGCCCACCUGGACGGAUGGGAGGGCCCCCGCCUGCCCUCGAGGUGCUGGCCCAAGCCCAGCCCAACAUAAGUGAGCUGCUGUGGGGCCGCUGCCCCAGCUGUCCUACCCACGGGAUGUCACCCUGCAUCGUACGGUGGCCCCCUGCCUUACCACCUGCGCCUUAUGCUGGCCAGAGUACCAGGACAUCGGCUGCAUGAUCUUCCAGCAAGAGCUGCCCAAGGUCGCAGGGCUUCUCCACCACUGCUGAUUCUACACCCAGGAAGGCCACCUGGUGAUGAACACAGGCCCGCUGGCCUGCAGUUGGGAGACCCAGCCAUUAUUCUACUAGAUUAGUUGCAUCCCAUUAGAGGAUGUGGCCUGAUGGCCGUCAGUGCUCAAACAGGUCUGACUGAGUUGAAUCAGAGAUGGAGCAAGAAGCCGAAUGCCACUGUGUGCGUGUUUCUAUACCUAGGAAGGUAAGAGGAGGAACGGUGAUUUCCCAAAUAGCUUCAAUCAAUACAGUUCUACUGUGCCAAUUUCUUGAGGCUUUACCUGUUCCUAUAAACUGGUGACCUUUAACUUCAUGCAGUGCGAAUUGUUUCCUUGUGUUUUGCAACUAUGAAUGUGGUGGUGUAAUUUCUGUGGGAAUUUGUAGGUGUGUUUUUCUAUAUUCAAACUCUAAAUCUGUGUGGGUGUGAGAAUGCGUUUAAUGAUUGAUUGAUUGAUGUCUGUCUCUAUCACUAUCUGUAGCUGUACCCAUCAAUCUACCUCGUGUCCAGAUUAAACGACAAACCUUUCCUCCAUGUUCUCUUGUGAAUCUGUGGAUUCUCCUCCAGGGCAUAGCUCCUCAGAGAUUUUAGCCUGACUUGGAAGACUGUCCUCCAGAGGCUUUGUUCCCAGCCUGGGAGACACAAAAACCUCUUUAUGACAGAGACAUGCAAAUAUUCCCAGGUCUGAUGUACUAUUAGCUUUCAUACUUAUCACUUACAUUUUUAAUUAUCUUUGUUUUGGUCCUUCAUAAUUCCCUUAAGACCUUAAGUAUACCUUUAAAGGACAUUUUCUUUAUUUUAUACAUUUAUGAGUAUUUAAUACUUUGACUUUUUAAAUGUCAUUAGUAUAAGUCAUAGUAAUUCAUAAGUUUGUAAAUAAGUAGUGGAACAAGCUUCCACGUUCUCCAGCCUGUCACCUUUAGGGCUUCUUCCGUGGUGUUUUAUCUGCCUGGAAUAUGCUUCCCUUUUCUCUUGGUCACACCGUGAAGCAGGAGGAUUGUGACCCUCACUUUGGAAUUAAGAACCUGCACUGUUCCUACUCUGUGCAUAGAGGACCUGAAUCUGCCCUAGUGCAUGGAAGUUUAGCAUUUGCCACAGCAGGGUCAGCUAUCUGUGAAUCGUUAUCUUCUCUUGAUUCCUUUGCUCUGUGUGUGUGUGUGUAAACCUAAUUUUUUGUACAAGCUUGUUGGUUUCUUACCUUUGUGAAUUUUCCUUGGAGCCCAGCAAUAAAAAUGCUUAUCAGAAAUAA